GUGGAUCUAACAUUAUCUAUUGUGUAAUUUGCUGGUAAUAAGCAGAUCUAUGCAUGGCACUCCAUUAUACCACACUGAUAGCUUCACAAAGAUUAUAAAUAUGAUACAUGUAAACAGGCACAGUUACUUGUCAUCACAAGGAUCAGAAUUCAAGUACCAAGGUAGUCCUAACUCCUGAAUCUUCCUGAUUGUCAAAAGUACAUCUAGUGACACAAGAGAAGAAUGUGGAGUAAAUGCCAAUAAAGGCUCGACUGCAGGGGUACACCUUACUUCUCAGGAAUUUCUGGUUAUUACCAUCCAAUUCAGAGGAGAAGACCAACUUCAAGGUGACUCU